rnacentral:snoRNA from 1 species
UGCAUCUUAAAUUUUCCCACAAAAAAUAAAGAAAUUGCCAGGUUAGACAGGUGCAAAAAUAAAUCCUCUUUUGCAACCCAGAACUCAUGGUUCAGUAAUGAGUUCUGAUACAUACAAGAAGGAAUAUA